UACGGAGGAUCCGAGCGUUAUCCGGAUUUAUUGGGUUUAAAGGGUGCGUAGGCGGCCUUUUAAGUCAGCGGUGAAAGUCUGUGGCUCAACCAUAGAAUUGCCGUUGAAACUGGGGGGCUUGAGUAUGUUUGAGGCAGGCGGAAUGCGUGGUGUAGCGGUGAAAUGCUUAGAUAUCACGCAGAACCCCGAUCGCGAAGGCAGCCUGCCAAGCCAUGACUGACGCUGAUGCACGAAAGCGUGGGGAUCAAACAGG
rnacentral:rRNA from 1 species